rnacentral:rRNA from 1 species
CAAUAGCGUAUAUUAAAGUUGUUGCAGUUAAAAAGCUCGUAGUUGAAUUUUUGCUUGCCGCCGAUGUCGGAACUUCCGUACGUUCGGCGGCGUGCAUCCUUGGGUGGAACCUGUGUGGCAUUAGGUUGUCGUGCAGGGGAUGCUCAUCGUUUACUGUGAAAAAAUUAGAGUGUUCAAAGCAGGCUUAUGCCGUUGAAUAUAUUAGCAUGGAAUAAUAAGAUAGGACCUUGGUACUAUUUUGUUGGUUUGCGCACCGAGGUAAUGAUUAACAGGGACAGUUGGGGGUAUUUGUAUUCCAUUGUCAGAGGUGAAAUUCUUGGAUUUCUGGAAGACGAACUACUGCGAAAGCAUUUACCAAGGAUGUUUUCAUUAA